UCGGGAAUCUUGGGCAAUGGGCGAAAGCCUGACCCAGCAACGCCGCGUGAGGGAUGAAGGCCCUCGGGUCGUAAACCUCUGUCGGGAGGGAAGAACGGUUGCGGUUCGAACAGGUCCGCAGCCUGACGGUACCUCCAAAGGAAGCGCCGGCUAACUCCGUGCCAGCAGCCGCGGUAAUACGGAGGGCGCAAGCGUUGUUCGGAAUCAUUGGGCGUAAAGCGCGUGUAGGCGGCUUGGUCAGUCGGGUGUGAAAGCCCGGGGCUCAACCCCGGAAUGGCACUCGAUACUGCCUCGCUAGAGUCCCGGAGAGGAAGGCGGAAUUCCCGGUGUAGAGGUGAAAUUCGUAGAUAUCGGGAGGAACACCAGCGGCGAAGGCGGCCUUCUGGACGGUGACUGACGCUGAGACGCGAAAGCGUGGGGAGCAAACAGGAUUAGAUACCCCCGUAGUCC
rnacentral:rRNA from 1 species